rnacentral:rRNA from 1 species
CAUUCAAAGAGUGCGUAACAGCUCACUGGUCGAGUGGACAUGCGCCGACAAUACACGGGGCUAAGCUGGACACCGAAGCGGCGGGAUUUUGAUUUUCAGAAUCGGUAGGGGAGCUUCCCAUGGGCGGAGAAGCCGGAGGGCGACCGACGGUGGAGCGCAUGGGAGUGAGAAUGCUGGCAUGAGUAGCGAGAGACGAGAGAGUAACUCGUCCGCCGUGAACCCGAGGUUUCCUGGGCAAGGCUAAUCCUCCCAGGGUCAGUCGGGGGCUAAGGCGAGGCCGGAAGGCGUAGCCGACGCGCAGCAGGCAGACAUUCCUGCACCGCGCACGCGGCGCUACGACCGACGGGGCGACGGAUGGGGGUGGCUCGGCGGGGUUCUGGACGUCCCCGUGAUGGAGCGCGGCCCGCGGACCAGGGAAAUCCGGUCCGCACGAGGGCGAGGCUCCGGACGAAGCGAUCAAGCGAAGCGAGUGAGCCCGAGGUCCCUAGAAAAACCCCUAGGCAGGCGCGUGCGCGCCCGUACCGCAAACCGACACAGGUGGGUGGGUAGAACAUACCGAGGCGAUCGGGUCAACCAUGGUCAAGGAACUCGGCACAAUGGCCCCGUAACUUAGGGAGAAGGGGUGCCCGCGCGUACGUGAACGGACUUGCUCCGGGAGCGGAGGCGGGCCGCAGUGGAGAGGCCCAAGCGACUGUUUACCAAAAACACAGGACUCUGCAGAAGCCGCAAGGCGACGUAUAGGGUCUGACGCCUGCCCGGUGCCGGAAGGUCACGCGGAGGAGUUAGCCGCAAGGCGAAGCCCCGAAGCCAAGCCCCGGUAAACGGCGGCCGUAACUAUAACGGUCCUAAGGUAGCGAAAUUCCUUGUCGGGUAAGUUCCGACCUGCACGAAAGGCGCAACGACUUGGGCGCUGUCUCGACCAUGGACCCGGUGAAAUUGCACUGGUCGUGAAGAUGCGACUUACCCGCGGAAGGACGGAAAGACCCCGUGAACCUUCACUGCAGCUUGGCAUUGGCCGCUGGUCCCGCGUGUAGAGGAUAGGCAGGAGGCACAGAUCCGGAGGCGCCAGCCCCCGGGGAGCCGCCCUUGGAAUACUGCCCUCGCGCGACCGGCGUCCUAACCCGAGGCCGUCGACCGGCUCGGGGACCGUGCCAGGCGGGCAGUUUGACUGGGGCGGUCGCCUCCUAAAGGGUAACGGAGGCGCGCGAAGGUCCGCUCGGGACGGUCGGCAACCGUCCUUUUGAAUGCAAGAGUACAAGCGGGCUUGACUGCGAGGCCCACAAGCCGAGCAGGUGCGAAAGCAGGCUCUAGUGAUCCGGCGGCCCCGAGUGGGUGGGCCGUCGCUCAACGGAUAAAAGGUACUCCGGGGAUAACAGGCUGAUCUUGCCCAAGAGUCCACAUCGACGGCAAGGUUUGGCACCUCGAUGUCGGCUCAUCGCAUCCUGGGGCUGGAGCAGGUCCCAAGGGUACGGCUGUUCGCCGUUUAAAGCGGUACGCGAGCUGGGUUCAGAACGUCGUGAGACAGUUCGGUCCCUAUCCUCCGUGGGCGCAGGAGAAUCGAUGGAGGCUGCCCCCAGUACGAGAGGACCGGGGUGGACGCACCUCCGGUGAACCGGUUGUCGACCAACGGCACGGCCGGGUAGCCGCGUGCGGCGCGGAUAACCGCUGAAGGCAUCUAAGCGGGAAGCCGUUCCAGGGAUUAGUUCUCCUUCCGGUAAGGGCCCAGGUAGACUACCUGGUCGAUAGACGGCAGGUGCAAGGCUGGCGACAGCCUCAGCCGAGCCGCACUAAUCGCCCGAGCUCUUCCGGAA